UACAGAGGUCCCAAGCGUUGUUCGGAUUCACUGGGCGUAAAGGGUGCGUAGGCGGUCGGGUAAGUCUGACGUGAAAUCUUCAAGCUCAACUUGGAAACUGCGUCGGAUACUAUUCGGCUAGAGGAAUGGAGGGGAGACUGGAAUACUUGGUGUAGCAGUGAAAUGCGUAGAUAUCAAGUGGAACACCAGUGGCGAAGGCGAGUCUCUGGAAAACUCCUGACACUGAGGCACGAAAGCUAGGGGAGCAAACAGG
rnacentral:rRNA from 1 species